AUAAUGAGGCUGAGUGUUCGAA
rnacentral:piRNA from 1 species